GCGGAUGUGGCGGAAUUGGCAGACGCGCUGGCUUCAGGUGCCAGUUGGGGUAACCCAGUGGAGGUUCGAAUCCUCUCAUCCGCA
rnacentral:tRNA from 1 species